AGUGACAGAGUUAGGGAGGGAAGGGGUGACUAGUGACAGAGUGAGGAAGGGGGUGACUAGUGACAGAAGGAGGGGGUGACUAGGGACAGAGUGAGGGAUGGGGUGACUAAUGACAGUCACCACCUCCCUCACUCUGCCACUGUGUCACCCCCUCACUCUGUCACCAGUCAUCCCCUCACUCUGUCACUAGUCACCCCUUCCUUCCCUCACUCUGCCACUAGUCACCCAUUCCCUCACUCUGUCACUAGUCACACCCUCUCCCUCCCUCUGUCACAAGUCACCCACUCCCUCACU